AGGAUUCCCCUAGUAACUGCGAGUGAAGCGGGAAAAGCUCAAAUUUAAAAUCUGGCAGUCAUUGACUGUCCGAGUUGUAAUUUAGAGAAGCAAUGCCGGCGCUGGACUGUGUACAAGUCUCCUGGAAUGGAGCGUCAUAGAGGGUGAGAAUCCCGUAUAUGACACAGUUGCCAGGGCACAGUGGGAUGCUCUCAAAGAGUCGAGUUGUUUGGGAAUGCAGCUCAAAAUGGGUGGUAAAUUCCAUCUAAAGCUAAAUACAGGCGAGAGACCGAUAGCGAACAAGUACCGUGAGGGAAAGAUGAAAAGAACUUUGGAAAGAGAGUUAAACAGUACGUGAAAUUGUUGAAAGGGAAACGCUUGAAGUCAGUCGUGUUGCUGGAAAUCACACUUGCUCUUUUGCUUGUGGCUCUUUCCUUUUGCAAUGGGUCAGCAUCAGUUUUGAUUGUUGGAUAAGAGUCAGAGGAAUGUGGCAUCCUUGGAUGUGUUAUAGCCUUUGAUUGUAUGCAAUGAUGGAGAUUGAGGAACUCGGCACUUUGUUGCCUAGGAUGCUGGCAUAAUGGCUUUAAUCGACCCGUCUUGAAACACGGACCA
rnacentral:rRNA from 1 species